GGCCAAACCUCCUGAUCAAAGCCUGACCUCAUCUGAUCUCAGAGGCUGAGCAGAGCUGGGCCUGGUUAGUACUCACAUGGGAGACCACUGGAAAAAAAACAGGUGCC
rnacentral:rRNA from 1 species